rnacentral:lncRNA from 1 species
UUAGAUCUCCUUGUAUAUAGUAAGAGAUGUAUUAAUAUUAACCACUCAUAUUCAUAGUCGGAUACAAUGGAAAGCGUGUUAUACCCAUGCCCUUGCAAAUGUACAAACCUGCACCUAUACUCAUGCAUGAAUAUUUAUAUCCUGUGAGCAGAAGAGGACAGGCUGCCUGAGUGCCAGGGAGGUCCAGGUCUAGCCUAGCUGGGGGAGACUUCCCACUCUGCCUUCCCAGCCCCAGGACCCUUAGGAGAACUUUCUUGCUGCCCUGUGGUCCCCAGGGCACCAGAACCCUGGAUAGCCGGCUCUGUGGUUUUCCUAGAGUGUUAAUUGUUGCCCAGGAGCAGGGAAUGGGGAAUCGGGAGCUCCCUCCUUCCCAGGAGAAAGGGCUGCAGUGGCUGGCCUGGGAGCCAGGGAGAGUCUUCACGUCCCAGCAGUUCUGGUGCAGAGGCAGCUCAGUUGGAUUAUUCGUCCCGGUUCCUAAUGAAAGUGAAAGCUGCUGGUACCUGCCAGCCCUCUCUUGGCACACAGCGAGCUGAAAAUGCAGAGACUGGAGAACGUUGCCACCAGAGUCAGCUUGUCCUGGUGCAGCUCAGAUUUGGAGCUGAGGGUUAUCGAUGCAUUGGUCUAUCUUAUUCCAGGAUUUCCUAGGCUUCAGUUAUCUCCCAACUAGGAACCACAGCUGCUCCUUCCUAACCUGGUCCCUCCUUGCCAAUCUGUGGCCUGUGCUAUCAGCAGAACCCCUGUGCCGGACAUAGAGCUGCCCAGGUCAGAAACCCAAACCUUCCACAGGGACACAGUCAGAUUUGAGUUAUGGGAGAUCCCACAGCCAGGGGUCAGGGCGGAUGCAGGAAACCAGGCCAGGAAGCUGUGGCUGUCAUCUAAGCAAGAGACAGACAAUGGUGACACAGGGAGGCAAGUAUACCCCCAGGCCUGGCCACCUCUCCAGCUCUGCUCCUGACAUGAGGCUCACCCAGAAGGUCCUUGGCCAUAGGGUACAUUGGUGCCAGCUGCGUCUUCAGACAGGAGAAAACCCCAGUAUGUGUCUCAAGACAGUGAGAUGUCAAGAGUCCUGCUCUCUUAGCCCUGAAUUAUACAAACUGGAGAUUUCAGCCAAGAAACAGGCAGGGUCUGCCCCACUUACAGCUCAUGUGUCUGUUUUGCCGAACUAAGAAAGUGAGGGCUUCUCUCAAUUUGGAUAUUCAUAUUUCUGGUUUAUCUGCUAGCUUUCCUCCCAGAACUUCUGAAAGCAUACUCGGCUUUUGGGAAACCUAAGAUCACAAUAAAAGUGGCAGACCUCUUUAUCCCUGUCUCACAAAUAAAUGGAGGCACAGAAUGGGGAAGUGGAGGCCGAGGGAACAAAGCCAACUAAGACUGCCAGCCCGGUUCCCUGGCCACAGCACUGAGGGUUUGAGGGGUGCCUCCAGUGAGGGCUCCCCAUCCCCGACCUUGGAACACCAGCUCAUAGUUUCUGCCAGGCCUAUUUCAUACGCACUCUUCCAACUUUUUCCUGAAUUAAAAACAAACAAACAAACAAAAACCUCUGUUAUGAAGUAAUUUCACACUUACAGAAAAGUUGCAAGAGCACAAACAAUGCCCGCCCAAACUCACCAGUUGCACCAGUUAGCACUUUGCUCAUGUACACGUGCAUGCUCUUCCCUCUGUUUGUAUAUGCAUGCCUGUGUAUAUGCACACAUGUGUAUAUGUGUAAUUUUCAUAAGCAUUUGAAAAUGGGUUCAUUAUGCACCUUUACUCCUAAAUAAUUCAGUAUUUAUUUCCUUAGAACAAGGACAAAUUUGCAUAACCACAGUAGGGUUGUCAAAAUCAGCAAAUCUAAUAUUGAUACACUAUACAAUCCUAUGACCAAUCUCAUCUACAACUUUAUUCAAAUUUUAUAGAGGCUGAGGUGGAAGGAUCACUUGAGUUUGAAACCAGCCUGGGCAACAUAGUGAGACCCCGUCUCUACAAAAAGUAGGAAAAAAAAAAUAGCGAGGUGUUGUGGUACACGCCCAUAGUCCCAGUUACUCGGAAGGCUCAGGCAGGAGGAUUGCUUGAGUCCGGGAGUUCAAGGCUGCAGUGAGUUAUUAUUCCACCACUGCACUCCAGCCUGGGUGACUGAGCGAGACCCUGUCUC